GUCUAGCUGAUGAGUCCCAAAUAGGACGAAAAGCUAUUCUUAGAU
rnacentral:hammerhead_ribozyme from 1 species